GAUGAACGCUAGCUACAGGCUUAACACAUGCAAGUCGAGGGGCAGCAUUUUAGUUUGCUUGCAAACUGAAGAUGGCGACCGGCGCACGGGUGAGUAACACGUAUCCAACCUGCCGAUAACUCCGGGAUAGCCUUUCGAAAGAAAGAUUAAUACCGGAUAGCAUACGAAUAUCGCAUGAUAUUUUUAUUAAAGAAUUUCGGUUAUCGAUGGGGAUGCGUUCCAUUAGUUUGUUGGCGGGGUAACGGCCCACCAAGACAACGAUGGAUAGGGGUUCUGAGAGGAAGGUCCCCCACAUUGGAACUGAGACACGGUCCAAACUCCUACGGGAGGCAGCAGUGAGGAAUAUUGGUCAAUGGGCGAGAGCCUGAACCAGCCAAGUAGCGUGAAGGAUGAAGGCUCUAUGGGUCGUAAACUUCUUUUAUAUGGGAAUAAAGUAUUCCACGUGUGGAAUUU
rnacentral:rRNA from 1 species